AUGGGCGACCUUACCCACCUCCGUUCUAAAGAGAUCCUUCAGAUCUUGCCACCUGAAGUCAUAGGGAAUGUUCGAUACGUAGAUCCUCCGCUCGGCGAUACGACGGCCGCGGUCGUUCCUCUCACGACUCCGGUCCCGCGAGGUUGAGUUCAUACGCGAUUGACGAUCCGUUCGGCGUGAACGAUCCCGCUCGCGACUUCGCUCGCGGUCGUCAUUUGGAAGGGAACUAUAAGUGUUUGAUGAAAUCAAUGAAGCAAUCGACACAAUUGUAUUUUCUUGAAUAUUCAAUAUCUUCUGAAGCAAUGGUCGAAUGACUGGAAAAAUGUGUUAAAGAUACGCCGGAUAAAUAUUAACAAAUUUCAUCGGAAUAAAUGAAAGGAGUGUGAAUCCAUCGGCGUUAGGAGGUCCAGGGACGCUUGCCAAAUAAAAAGCAGCGGUUAGCGGGCAACUGAAAAAACCUCCGCACUUACUCUUCGGUCUUCAUCCUCAGGUACGUUCACUAACGUAUCGUCUUGUUAAUUUUUAAUUGUUAGAAGUGCUUGACGCACAAAUUAAUAUAGAAACACUCGAGUGAAAACCGAUGUUUUAGACACGAUUAACACUGUUUUACACUGCACUGUACUGAAGGCGUCUUGACAAGAUGGCCGGAACCGGGGUCUGUCGGCCGGAAACUGCAAUCAGGGAGCAAUACUGGAACCACUUGAGUCAAAGGUGUGUUAGCGAGACAUGCUACUGGAUUCGGCGCAAUAGAAUUGAAAUUGUAAUUUGAAGAGAAUGAUCACUUGAUAUCAAGCGUCUAAUAUUUUUUUUAUUGCUCCGAAGGUUUAGAGCAUCUACAGUUAACUAAAGAAAAAGCACUCAUGCAAAAAUAUUUAUCCCAUCCAACUUGAUUCUUAAUUUUAUUCACAGCAGUACAAUCAUCUCUGACAACACAGACUGACGAAACAUAGUAAAUUGAGUAGUUCCUUGGGAAAAAUAAUUAUCUCUCGACUUUUUCUUUACAUAUGAAUAAUUUUAUUUAAUUACAUCAAUCUUCAAAGCGUGGAAUUGAAUUUCUACCUUACUUAUUGUAGUACCUUCAAACUCUCCACUUCUCUACAAGUGAAAUACUAGACAAUUCAAUUCAAUCAAUUAUCAAUUAAAAAUUUCCAUCAGGAUAUCCACAAAUAUUCUUUAUUCAUCGUGAGUAAUUACGCAUACGUUUACUGUUUCAGUUGUUCCUUCCAAUAGAGGAAAGUCAUUCGUAUGAAAAUUCAUUUUCUCUUCAGAUCCUCCUCUCCCCCCUAUUUCACAGAUUGCUAAAAAAAAUGAGAAUAGAACAAUCGAGUGAAGCUAUAAUACAACUGAAUCCUUCUGUGAAAUCGUGAAAAAUAUCUCUAGGAUUGUAAAUACAACAUAGAAUCCCAUGAUGAAAUGAUACAACAGGCUUCGGAAAUUUUCCUUCAAAUUGUUUAAGCCUCUUGCAUCACUUCGUUUUAGAACCAUAGGUAUUCGAUUUAAAUUUUCAUCAUUCAAUCCUAAAAAAUGGUUCGUUUUCUCCAUACCAAUGACACAACUGCGCUCUACAUGAUUUGACAUUGAAUGUUUCCGUAUUUGUGGAUGAAGUUAAGGAAAAAUCAGAAUCUGUUGAAUAAUUGAUCAUCAAUUGGAAUGAAGAAAUUUCCCGUCAAAUCAAGAAGUCAGGGAGAACUUUAUUUAGUUAAAAAAUGAACUAGCGACGUGACGAAAUGAAAAGCAAUUUUUUACAUCAGUUUUUCAUGGAUAUCCCAAAAUUCUAAAGAGAUGGCCGAAUUUUUUAUCAGAAUAUUUUUGUGUCUCAAAAAUUCUCUACAAAAAGGCUUUCACAAAAAUGUCGCUAUCCUGCUCAGACUCAGAGAUAUUCCCGAAAAGUUAACCUUAACUUCUGUUGAAUCCCGGGAAAAACUACUCAACGCAAUUCAGGAACCGCUUUCAUUUUGUUGAUAAUGAAAUGGUCUGAUGUUCGGUGAAAACAAAUUACCUCAAUCGUCGUUUCUCCCAGAGAUUUAUAUGAUUAAAAA